AGGAUGGAGACCCGGGACCCCUUGAGAACAUCCCAGACGUUGAUAGUGUAAUCAUUGUAUCCAGCAAACAGCAGGCGACCUUGAAGCAGGAAAAGUUCCCUUUGGGGCAUGAAGAGAAGCAAAGGCUGGGGAGAAAAUGCCUGAGAGCACUGUGGAAGUGAAUUUCUGACACUUCAUUGCCUUGAAGGACAGCAUUAGGUCAUAGAGGCGACACUGGGGAGCAAAUAAAUAAAGAAGCACUUACUUCUGGCUUCAGUCUGGUGACGUGAUGACCACAGAGCUACAGGGAAGGAACAAAUUACAAGGAGGGGAAUCUGCUCCCGCCCUGGUGUUGCACCCACUGGCUGUCCACAGGACCCCCUCCAGCCUUGACUUCCCUCAGGAGGCCUGCAUACAUCCAACAAGAUGACUUAAGCUGGCAAAGUAGCUUAUGGACACACAAAACCUGAACUGAGGCUGAAAUUUGGGUACUAAUAUUUUGUUGGAUGCUCGAAUUCCCUCAGUCUCUCCUGGCCCACACCCACUAGUGGUUGUUCCAACUCACUGCUUUCCUAAUAACACUUGCAGUAACUUAGUUUAUUUUGAGACACCAGGUCCAAACAAUUUUCUUUAAGCAACUACCCCAGUCUUGCUCUUUAAUUUAGGAAAUUUUCAUACCAUACUGUUUGAUCAAAGAAAUGAAUAGUUUUUAAAAGUUAAAAGUAGAUUUCUAAUACUUUUCAAUUUUGUGUUUCUGAUCUUCAUUAUAAUAUAAGUAAAAAUAAAUUUUAAAGACCAAACAUUUAUUCAUAUAAAUGCAUGAAACAGAACCCCUAACUCAUUGUCACUCAUUUGUUCUGGAAUGCAGAGAAUUUGUAGGUUUAAUACCAUAGUCUCAUACCAGCUGCUUGAGU
rnacentral:antisense_RNA from 1 species